GGUAAAGCUCGAGAUCGAGAAGUAGAUGGCUUAUGAAAUUACUUCUAGAAGGUAGAAAAAGAUUAUAAAUUUUGUGAAGAGAAUAGAAACAACGCAUAUCUAUUCAUUUGACCUAUGAAGUGAGCAUUGAUAAAUCAAAUUCUACACGCGAGACUUUUAUGGUGAUAUAUUUUUUUUUUUUGUCGAAGUAUUAUGGUGAUCGAUGAAACGAGCUAUUCGGUGUAGGCCAAAGGUCGGAGUACACCUACUGUGCACUGGUAGAAUGUCUAUGAGAGCAACCACUCUGUUGAGGAAAAAAAUUAUGAAGGAAAAGAGAGAAAGAAGGAAGAUAUGCGGUUGAAAAUAGUAAGAAUUCUGUUCUUAUCACUCACCUUGCCACCUCCUUCCAAAGGAUUGUUUGUUUAGAGACAAAAAUUCACUUUCAUCGCAAGGCAUACCAUUGAGUUGUGAUUUUUGGUUUCAUGCUGAAAAUUAAGCAGAAUUUAAGUCUUCACCAAUGAG
rnacentral:lncRNA from 1 species